CUUCUAUUUGUAUGCAACUCAUAUGGGCCGUUGAAGCUUGCUCAUCCAGCCAGCCCUCCUUCAAUUUUCUUAUUAGCAACCACAUGAUGAUGAUUGACGCCACAACAACCGCAGAUGCUGUUUUUCCGAUGUAUCACACCGUUUUUGCUCAUCCAGAAAGUGACCUAACUUUUAGUCUUCCGCUUUCUAGAAAGCGGAAGACUAUAGGCGAUCCCAAUGGAAACUGGAAUCCCAAUGACAGUUGCACCACGUACUCGUAUCUCAGAGAAGAUAUUUCGUCUCUUAUUCAGCAACAACAAUUUGAGAUGGAUCAGUUUGUUGCUCGUCAUAACGAGAAAGUAAGGCGUGAAAUGGAACAGAAACGACGGAGAAAUUCGAUGAAACUGAUAUCAGCAAUAGAGGAAAAUGUAACACAUAGAUUAAGAGCAAAAGAAGAAGAGAUUGCAAACAUGAGGAAGAUAAAUUACGCGUUAGAAGAUAAGGUGAAAUCUCUGUGUAUAGAAAACCAGAUCUGGCGCGAAUUAGCGCAAACAAACGAAGCAACAGCGAAUGCAUUACGUAGCAAUUUGAAGCAAGUUUUGGAGCAGGUUGUUCACGGAGGUUACCGACGUUAUAACAUGGAGGCCGGUGAAGAAUCCGCCGCUACCAUGGCGGUUGUUGACGAUGUUCUUUCGUGUUGCGAAAGUAAUAAUGAGAACGAGUGCAUGUUAGCGGAGCAGGAUACCGGUAAUAGUAACACUAAUAGUAACAAUAACAGGUUGUGCAAAAGGUGUGGUGAAGCUGAGUCAUGUGUGUUGCUGCUUCCUUGUAGGCAUCUAUGCCUUUGUAGAGUCCGACCAUGCGCAAUCGCAGAAAGUGCUGGUGGUCCGGCCUGUCAUCAAUUCCGAGGGAAAUCCACUGCCUAAAGGCUUACUAUGGUUUUGUUCGAUGUAUUUCACUUUAUUCGUGCUAAAAUUCAUGGGCUGUUUGUCAAGCUCUGUGCUAUUAAGUGCUAAGCCAUUAAGAUAUCUGACUGGGUAAGAGACUCUGAUACAGUAAGAAGCCUGACUUGGCUCAACCUAAUGGGUUGGUGGUGAAGGAGGUGGUGGGAUGAGGAGGAUGUGCGUGAGUGGUCCGGCUAAGGGUUAUAAACUCAAAUGAAUGGAUAAAGGGAUAAAAUUUUCAUUCUAAGUCAUUUUUAAACUUAAUGGUUAAAAGACUUACUGAUUGAUACAUAUGUAUGUAUCAGUGAACCAAACAACCCUUAAUGUAUGUCGAUGAUAUAUGCAUUACCGAAGGAUAAUACAAUAAUCAAGUAUAGCAUAAUA